GUUGCCAACAACCAUUAAAUAACAAGAAGAAGAAAAUAUUUAUCUGCUUUUCUUAGUUUUGCACGUUUAAGACGCAAUUCAAACUUAAAGCUGCAAAGCAGGAGAACAACAUGACCAUCAACUAUUCUGUGCCACAGAUCCAGUUCGCUGCAGCACAGAGUGAUGAUGAGAUGGUGAAAGAACAACAGAGACAAUUUACGGACUGUUAACAUGUGCAACUUAGAAGUAGUCAGAGGUAGCUGGAUGUUCAGUCGGGUUAAAUGCACGGUUGAUUGGAUUAUAUCUGAAGAUCGUAUGCUAUUCGUGACAACUCUACUAGACUCCAAAUUUCUCGUCCAUGAGGGAGUAUCUCAAAAGUAAAUGAAACAACUAAACUUAACACUUUUUCCCUAAAACGGACUGACAUGGGAAACAUUAAAGUUGGACUGACACCAGCUAAUCAGUCUGAAGAACAAGAAGGGAGACCACUGAGGAGAAGUUCUAUGAGUUCACGGGUGACCUCAGCUGUCAAGUUCCUGGAUGUGGGGAUGGAAAUUGAAGAGGAACUUACAAGCCUCCUGCCAACACUAGACAGAGAGAAAAUAAUCUGCAUUGUAGAACAUCUGACAGACGUUAUUGGUGUACAACAAAAAAGUGAUCUUUUGUUUGUGGAAGAUCUCAAACCCUUUCUCACACCAAUUCAAAUACGUAAACUACUUCUUGCAUUUAAAGGAGGUUUGUGUAGGUUCUGUACAAAUCAUAGACUUGAGUCUAUGAUUUGAAGGUCACUCAUAGACUCAUAUGUCACUGAUUAGCUUGAUUAGCUUUUUUUUUCUCUUCACCAUACUACACAUGUACUUUGACAGUAUAAUAUUGAAGAGCGUUUUGGGGCUCACAUUGUCUGGUAGUUAAUUAACAUGGAAAACAUAAACAAAAGUAGACACUAAAUCUAACACCAUUAACCUUUCAUUGGUAGUGGUACAACUAAGGGUUUGAAAUUGUGACAUACUGUAAAAUAUAUUGACUCAAGGUCUUUUCAAUGCAAGACCUUGAGUUUGUAGUUCUUUUGCAGUCCUGGGAUUGCUUCUUUUCAUCUUCAGACAAGGUCCCCAAAAACUGCCUUGCCGUUACUACUCAAUCCUAAUUGAAGGGUUCAUAUUUUAGUGAGGACAUAUUUGUUGACAUAGUAGCUUUUUAAGGUAACUUUUCCAAUGAUCUUUAUUUAUUU